UACGAAGGGGGCUAGCGUUGUUCGGAUUUACUGGGCGUAAGGCGCACGUAGGCGGACUUUUAAGUCAGGGGUGAAAUCCCGGGGCUCAACCCCGGAACUGCCUUUGAUACUGGAAGUCUUGAGUAUGGAAGAGGUGAGUGGAAUUCCGAGUGUAGAGGUGAAAUUCGUAGAUAUUCGGAGGAACACCAGUGGCGAAGGCGGCUCACUGGUCCAUUACUGACACUGAGAAGCGAAAGCAUGGGGAGCGAACAGG
rnacentral:rRNA from 1 species